UGACAUUUCAAGUAGGUAAAGUAGGGCGCUUAGGCUGGCUGAAAACAGAUAAAGGAGACAUCAUGUGCUUGGACGAGUUCCUCCGAGGAAUGCCUUAGACGGAUGAAUCCCGCUGGU
rnacentral:sRNA from 1 species